rnacentral:rRNA from 1 species
UACGGAGGGUGCAAGCGUUAUCCGGAUUCACUGGGUUUAAAGGGUGCGUAGGUGGCUUUGUAAGUCAGUGGUGAAAUGCCGCAGCUCAACUGCGGAACUGCCAUUGAUACUGCUUAGCUUGAAUCACGUCGAGGUGGAUGGAAUAUUACAUGUAGCGGUGAAAUGCUUAGAUAUGUAAUAGAACACCGAUUGCGAAGGCAGUUCACUAGGCGUGUAUUGACACUGGAGGCACGAAAGCGUGGG